rnacentral:rRNA from 1 species
GAUGAACGCUGGCGGCGUGCUUAACACAUGCAAGUCGAACGAGAAAUGGAGACGGAACCCUUCGGGCGGAAGGCUUCAUUUCGAGUGGCGGACGGGUGAGUAACGCGUGGGUAACCUGCCUCAUACAGGGGGAUAACAGUUGGAAACGACUGUUAAUACCGCAUAAGACCACAGCACCGCAUGGUGCGGGGGUAAAAACUCCGGUGGUAUGAGAUGGACCCGCGUUCGAUUAGCCAGUUGGCGGGGUAACGGCCCACCAAAGCGACGAUCGAUAGCCGAUCUGAGAGGAUGACCGGCCACAUUGGGACUGAGACACGGCCCAAACUCCUACGGGAGGCAGCAGUGGGGAAUAUUGCACAAUGGGGGAAACCCCGAUGCAGCGACGCCGCGUGAGUGAAGAAGUACUUCGGUAUGUAAAGCUCUAUCAGCAGGGAAGAAAAUGACGGUACCUGAGUAAGAAGCCCCGGCUAACUACGUG